rnacentral:pre_miRNA from 7 species
CGGGACUGUUGAGUGAAGUAGGUAGUUUCAUGUUGUUGGGCCUGGCUUUCUGAACACAACGACAUCAAACCACCUGAUUCAUGGCAGUUACU